AAAAAAAUCUUUGUAUAGAUUAUUUUUUUGUGUGAUUUUAUACCACAAAAAUUGGUAGCUGGUUUUGUAUUUUGGUUCAAAUUUUUGUGUCAUUGUAUAUACAAAUUGUAGUGUACAUUUGUAGCAAAAUAGCUAAAUUGAUCCCAUUAAUUUAAAAUUAGAUAAUUAAAAGUUAUAAAUAUAAUUUUGAUUCAUACUGGAUAUAUUUUUGUACAACAAUAACCCAUUCAUGCAAAUUUUGGAACUUUUUCACUUGAGAUUUUUAGUUGUGCAUAAAUGCUGUCCUGAUCUUUUAUUUAUGUGAACUUUGAAAGUUAUUCUUUUGAAAUUUGAACAGUGUUCCUUUGCCCAAAUAUAAAUUUGGUAUGAAUUAUUUCAGUGAUACUUCGCAUCCUGUUUUUAGUUCAGGCCUAAAUAGGAUAUAGUUAUUAUCUCCCCUUCUAACUGAUUGAUAUGUAUUUUCUCCCCUGUUUACUGAUUGAUAUGUCUGCUCUUCAAACCAUCUACACUUUAUAGAUUUAGGAUACCAGUUUUACAAUGAUCUUUUUAUGCUUUUUAAUUGAAAGGUAUCAUGUUUUGGUGGAUAGGUUGCACAAAUGUUCAAUGUGAUAAAUUUCUAUGUGAAUUUGAUCAAAUAGCUAGGUAUCAGUAGGAAAUGACUUUGAGACUUGAAUCGGAUGUGAAACCAUAAUUGGGUAUAAUGACUUAAUUAAUAAAUCUUAAUAAGUUUUUCUUGAGUCUUCUUGAUUAAUUAUGGUUUUAUAUUUGGUCUUAAAUUCCUAGAGUUUAAAUAUACACAGUGUUUUGAAAAUUAGAUACAUUUUACAUUAAAACUGAAGAAAACUAAGACCAAACAUUGCAAAUAAAUAUGUGUGUAUAACAAAUUACGGCUGUUUGAAAUGUUUGACAAAAAUUCUUAAUAUUCAGUGAUAGAAUCAUUUCCAUGUAUUUAAAACUUAAAAAUGUAAAAGACAUUACCAAUAAAAAGGAUGAAUAUUUGUAACAGUUAUAUUCUUUUUUAGUUGAUAAUUGUGUUUUUGCAUCAAUGUUUCACAGAAAAAAUGUAUCAAUGUAUGCUUUGUAUAUAAUUUUGAUGUGUAAAAAACAUUCUGUAAAUUUCAUAUCAGAUGAUACAAACAUGUCCUUAUUUGGGCCUUAAUUGUUCGUUAUAUAAGUCUAUAAUUAUAAUGUAUUGCUGUUUUUUAUGUGCACAUUUUUUUUUUCAUUUAAUUAGUGUGAAUGGUUUGUUGGAAACAAAAUGUUUUGUAAAACGCAAAAGUUAUCAUCAUAAUCUUGACAAAUUACACAUUUUCCUACAUGUAUCAGAUACAAAUGCGGAAAGAAUGUUUUACAGAAAGUAUGAUCCCCAUUUUCAUAAUUGCAUGUAAUUUAUAGACCAUUAUUUACUGUAAAGGAGUACUUAAAAACUGGUGAUAUCUAUGUAGGCUGUUCUUCAUGCAUUUUAUUUAUAACAAAUGAUCUCUUUUGACCAUUAAGUGUUCAGAUACUGUGGAUUCUGUUUUAUUGUCGGGUUUCUAUUUAUGGCGUGAUUUUUAGAACAUUCAGUUUUCAUAAAAUACAUGAUUUUAUUUUUCUUUAGAACUGAAUGGAGAAAUUUUUCAAAAUUGUGAAAUCAUGAAAGUGUGUGAAGUAUUCCUAGAGACAAGAAUUUUUUUUUUUCAAUCGACAAAAAAUUGGUAGCCAUGAUAAUAAACAAAUCCACAGUAGAUAUGAAUUUUGCUUAUUAUUGAAGUAAAUUAAAAUUGUACAAGACUUUUACUUAUUAUGUAAGUAAUUAUGAAUAUAUAGAACAGUACUUAUUACUUAAGUAAAUCUAAAUUAUAUGGAAUUUGACUCAAUAUUUUAGUUAUCUAAAAUUGUAUUUAAAAAAUGUGUAUACAUGAGGAUGUGUUUGAAAAUCAUUGAAAUGCAUCAUGGCAUUCUUAAAAAAAUAUUUAUUCAGAACUUUACUUAUUCUUUAAAUUAAUUUGAAUGAUAAGAGACUUUUUAUGAUAUACAAGUGAAAUUAUUGCCUUUCCUGUUAGGAUAAUCUAUUUGAUGAAUGGUUCUUUAAAGAAUUUAUUUUUUACUAUAGGAAAAAGGUUGAGUUAUUUGUAGCUUGACCCUCACCAAAUUCCUGUCAACCUUGUUAAACAAAUUUUGGGAUCCCCUGAGGGUUUUUUGAUAAUGAUUAUUCUGACGUGGUAAUGACUGGAAGAAAAAAAAUGUACAAUACUAGGUGAAAAUGAAUAUUCUGUUCUAUAAAAUACAGGACAUGGCAAGAACAACUUGUGUUAAAAAAUGUGAAUUUUCACCCAGAUGUAUAUAAUGCCCCUGUAACACAUCCUUCCCUCAGAAAAUCAAAUUGCAGCUCCUUGAAGGCUAAAGAUGAUAAAAACUUAUAUUUUAUUGUUUAAAUGAAUAACAGAAAUGUCACAGUGUAUCCCCAUUCUGUCAGAAUAUAGUGCUGAUUUCCAUGUGUAGUGAGUUUUUUUUAUUUAAAAGGCAGUUGUUUGGUAUCAUGUAUUUAAAUUUGAUUUAUACAAUAUAUGAUUUCAAAUUAAAACAUGCAAAGAGUUAUUGAAAAAUGAUUAUUUUUUGGUUCAUGAAUUAAUUAAACUUUUGUGAAAAAAAACUUUUGUACACAAUUUUUUUUUUUGUAAUCAUUUACCCAUGAAUGUGUGAGUGAAAUCAUGAGUUUUUCCCCCUUUUUUAUCUUGACUUUUGCAUUUUCAUAUCGUCUCAGUGCAUAUUAUAACAUUCAUGUACAUAGAUUGAAUGCUCAACUUUUAUUAUAUGUUAAAGUCAGACUAGUGGGCGGAGCUUAACAGGAGAUGCCAUUUUUCUUAAGCUCAGCCCAAUCAUAUCAUGAAAGCUGUUUGACAGGUUUACCAACCUAACUAUGUAUUUUUGUCCUUAUUGAAAUUCUCAUUACAUUACAAAAGUGGACCAUAUUGAAAUGUAAAGAUAUUGAAUGCAUGUUGAUCGAAUAAAUAGUAAAUAGAA
rnacentral:lncRNA from 1 species